rnacentral:rRNA from 1 species
GAUGAACGCUGGCGGCGUGCUUAACACAUGCAAGUCGAACGGUGAAGCCGAGCUUUCUCUGUGUAUCAGUGGCGAGCGGGUGAGUAACACGUGAGCAACCUGCCCCUGACUCUGUGAUAAGCGCUGGAAACGGCGUCUAAUACUGGAUAUGAGAUGCCACCGCAUGGUCAGCGGUUUGAAAGAUUUUUCGGUCUGGGAUGGGCUCACGGCCUAUCAGCUUGUUGGUGAGGUAAUGGCUCACCAAGGCCUCGACGGGUAGCCGGCCUGAGAGGGUGACCGGCCACACUGGGACUGAGACACGGCCCAGACUCCUACGGGAGGCAGCAGUGGGGAAUAUUGCACAAUGGGCGGAAGCCUGAUGCAGCAACGCCGCGUGAGGGAUGACGGCCUUCGGGUUGUAAACCUCUUUUAGCAGGGAAGAAGCGAAAGUGACGGUAAUUGCAGAAAAAGCGCCGGCUAACUACGUG